rnacentral:tRNA from 1 species
GGGCAGGUACUCAAGUGGUCAACGAGGACAGACUGUAAAUCUGUUGCGCUUCGCUUCGAGGGUUCGAAUCCUUCCCUGCCCA